rnacentral:lncRNA from 1 species
AGCCUCAAACGAAUUACAGAUGCGGCAUCAGAGCAAUCAACCGACGGGGUGGAUCGAUUUGGAUCACCAGCGCUGGCAAACAUGCUGUCUUCCCAAGCGGAGCGAGAUUGCCAAGCCAAGCAAAACAGUGACGGGCAGCCACGAAAACUAUAUGCAAUAAUCACGCAACGAAACGACCAGGUCAGUCAGCAUUUCAACCUUGUUUUCGGCAGAAUAUAAGUUGCCUACAUCUUCAACAGAAUUAACUGUAGAUGACAAAGUAAAACCUGACUACGCAGAACUAGGCAAAACAAUGAAUCCACAAUGCAAUAAGAAAUACGCGCUCUAAUCUUAGGCACCAAAAGGACUUCACCUGCGCAACACACACAAAUGAUCCUUUUCUGCUGCAAGUGGUCACAUGAAGUUGCAACCAGCCAAAUUAUCAAUUCUCGAACCCCAUAGUCAUAAACUGUUACAACAAUGGUCGGGAUCUAGAAAGAAACCGGCCACCACGAUACAGACGUCUUGAGAAUUACAUGGCAGUCACGAAUAUAAGAUAACGCAGCAAAAUUCAAGUAUGAUCGACUUAACAGUCUUCAAACAUAGUUCGGAAAGCACAAAAUCUAGUAAACAAGACACCAUCACCAGUCCAAGCCUCUGAAAAAUGUGUCGCUGAGGCCCAUCACACUGAAAGGUCUUUGGUAAAUCAGAUGAGAAGCUUCUCAAUAGAGUCCUGCAAAUCAUUAAAUUGGAUUAACCUACUGAGAUGUGCAUAUAAGAUAACUUAAUAUAGUGACUAUUAAGCAGAUAACAAAUAAAUAUUACAAAGUCAUGAUAUGGGUAAAUAAAUUUCAAGCAUUACAGAAUAUCAAGUACCUUGAGACUCUGAAUUGGCUGUUUCAACUGGCUACCCUCAUUGCUGGUCACCGAGCAAGCAAUAACCGGCCUUGUCACACCACAAGCACGACCAAGAGCUUGCUUUGAUGGAACAAACACAUAUGGCACGUUCUGCACAUAGCAUAGGACAAAAUGAAUUAACCAAGGUGAUUGGCCAUAUGGCACUUUCAGCUGGCAAACAGAAGUUAUUUAUACAAGUCGUCAAGCAGGAUAAACCAAUAAAGUGCAUAAAACAUGUGCAACUAAAUAAGCUAGCGUGCACUGCAAGGUUGAAUUAUCACUACAGGCCCCUUGCGCCACCAAAUAAACCCAUUCAUACCAUUUAAAGAAGGUUGCGGACAAUCAACUAGCAAAACACAGUUAAAGUAAAUACUUUUUGGACAGACUAAACGACAAAGAAUGUCCAACAGAAGUACAAACUGACUACCAGCAUCCAUAUAAGCAGUUAAAUACAGGCAUCGAUAUAAGCAGUUAAACCAAAGCACCAAAAUAGCCGGCUCCAAUUUGAUUAAAGCAUAUAAGAAUCCAUCUAACAUCCGGAACUCACAUAAGCAUUAAAACCAAAGCACCAGCUCAUCCUCAAAAUUCAGCUAAUUCAGGCUUUAACUGUGGUAAAUAAGGGCAGGCCAGCAAACUCCAGCUGCUUGCAACAUAAACAGGCUAAUAAGCACCUACCACAUCACAUAUUCACAACAAACAUAGCAUACAGAUGACAAUCCAAUCGAACUACACCCUUGCCACAAAGGGGAAAUAACUAUCAAAUUGAAACAAGGUACAGUGAUCACUUACACCGGACAAAUAAUAAUCAGUUAAUCACACAGCACUAGUGCAAAAUAUACGUGAUACCGAACAAAAGGGGGGAAAGCAAAUCGUUACCUUAUCCUCAGCUAGCAAGGGGAGGUGGAGAAGGAUCUCGAGCGGCUCAGUGUCCGCCGCCAUCACCACGAACUCCGAUAUCCCCCUGUUCAGGGUCUUCGUCGCUGGGAGCAAACACACGAAGACACAAAUUUAAGCCAAACGCCCCAAAAUUAACAGAGCACAGCGCAGAAAACGUGGGGAAGGGACUGGUAAGAUACCUUCGUUGGCGCCCUUCUUGAGCUGCUUGUAGUUGGCGGCCUGCUGGAUGAUCUCGAGGAUAUUAAUCGUCAGCUGCGCGUCCGCCAGCGGGUACGCCUUCGGGUUCACCGCCUCCUGGCUCUGCAAGAAAAACAGAAUCCACCGGCGAUUAGAGGGCGGCAGCGGCAGGCGGAUUCGAUUCGACGGACAGGAGAUGGGGAUUAGAGAUAAGAUUGUAGGGGGAGCCUACCAUGUUCGAGAUUUCGAGGCGAGAGCGAGCGAAGGAGGAGGCGGCGCCGCAGGGGAGGAACUAGGGUUUUCGAGGGAGGCGGGGUGAGUGGAGGGGAAGGAAGGGUUUAUAGGGGCCUCCUAUAUAACUCCUGUGGAAAAGGCAGGCAGAAAGCUUAUAGGUCGCUCGGCCCAGCAAGCGGCCCAAUAAGCCCAAAUAACAUUUCACUGCUCAUCUGGAAAAUUCUGCGCGCGCAUCGUAUGUUUAACAGCCCAAUAGUGUUCAACUCUAGAAGUGUUAAACUAACGCAAAAAAAAAAACCCCUAAGUUUCAUUAUUAAUGGCUGCAUUCAGCUAAGCUCUCCAAGGAAAAGCGGAUAAUCAAUUGGUGCACAGUACAUAGCCAAUGAAGAACGAAGAACUGCGCAUCCAUUUGGCGGUCAUGUAACACAUUGAUCUUAUACACUGUCGGAGAAGCUUUAUUACUGUAACCAAGCGCUUGUAUGUGCUUUUUGUACAAGAACACCACAAUUUACAUGGCAAACAGGUUAGCACAUCCCUUAUAUUAUCUUACAACAACAUGCGUCCAUCUCGAAUGCAGCGAGUCCGCAUCUGUUGGAUACUUGGAUCAGCACCGAAUAGCUCACUUGGACAAUAUAAAGCUCCCUCUUCAGCGAAAUGCUGCAUCGGCGGUUCCUUCCUGACCAACGCAGCAAGUUGUGAUGGAACCCUAACACCUCCA